rnacentral:lncRNA from 1 species
GAGCAGUACGGGAGAAUGAGAGAAGGAGAUCCGGAGCCGGCGACCGGCGACCGGACCUCGGCGCGUGCUUGCCUCCUACCCACAGAUUCCAAGAUAUAGAAACCGGCAGCAGUGAUCUCUUUUUAGGAAAGACUUCGGUGGGGUGACGUGCUAUAGUGGAGGCAGGUGACGGUGGUUACGGCGGUGGCUUUCGUCUCCGGAAACGCGAGAAAGGGGCGUCAAUGGUGUUAUUUGUGGUUUGAGAGGGGGGGAUCGGGGUGGCUAUGGUGGCAAUAGCGUGCGACGAGUACUGUAAUUGUGGCCAGAGAAAGAGAGUGGGCUGCCCCACCAGCGUCACCGCCACCUCCAUCACCAUCGCCACAGCUGCCAUAUCUCCGACUGCAACCUUGACGGUGGUGUUGCUACAUGAGUAAUGACAGUGAAGAUUGAGGGUUUAAAGGGAGAGUAGGUCGACGGCUAAAUCAAUGAACCCUAAAUCGAUAAUCAGCCUCAUCUCACUAAAUUUCGAUUUGCUUGCUGUUCUUCAAUCAAUCACCGAUAGGAACUCUUUACAGUUGUUUUUUGCCCAGGAAAGCUUCAAGUUUUUGACAGUUUUUUUGACCAUUUGCACUCACUACGCUCCUGUUAGCCAAGAGCUCUUAAAUUCCCCUGCAACUUUUAGAGGUAUAGCGAAGAGAAGGACCAUUAAGAACGACAACUAAAGCUCAAACGCGGAUUGAAGGAGCAUAUAGGAUGAUUUUGGAGAUUAAGGGUUUGGACGACAGUUUCAAGAUAUGCUGGGAGUUCAUCAAUUAAUCUAUGGCAAAUCACAUGGGAGAGCCACUGUUAGAAUAUCUAACUCAGAAAGAAACAGAGAGUCUGCCUGAAGCAAGGGAAUGCCAAGAAGCUGAAGCCCGACCAACAAAACUGAUUAUCACCGCUUAUUAGGAGAGUAAGGUGGAACAAAAGUGUGUGGAUGAAGUAUGCUAAGAAGGAUUUCAAUGGUGCUAGGAGUGUUUGGGAGCGUGCACUUGAUGUCAAUUGAAGCAACUAAAGGUGGUGUUACACAACAUGUCCAAGAUGUGGUCAAUACUAGAGGUCGAUAUUGAGUGGAUUUGUACGCGUGACGGCAUAGAAAAAGCAAAAACAAUGUACCGAAUCAUUGCGACAAUCACGAAUAGCACGGGAAGCAUGUCGACAGUUAUUUUCGACGGUGUAGGGACACAGCUGUUAGCAAUGACAUGCAAUGACUUGGCUGCGACUGAGGACCCCAUGAAAAAGUUGUACUCGGUUAUGGAAAAGGAAGCAUUCAUGAUUAUCCAGCUACUAUCCGACAAAAAAAAUGUGCACAUUAAAAUGAUCUGUUGUCAACAAAGCAGCGCAUUGUGCCAGCUUGGUCAAAAAUGUAGUCAAUGGUCGUAUGCUAUAUGCUGAUAAUAGUAACACGUAUGCCUGAACAUACCAUAUUUUGUACGCUACAUCUGUUAAUAGCAGUGUCAUAACUUGAUGACAGUUACUUAUG